GCGGAUGUGGCGCAUCGGUGGGCGCAUUAGCCUUAUGGAUAAAGGUAUGCUAGGUUCGACUCCUAGCCUUCUGCACCA
rnacentral:tRNA from 1 species